rnacentral:rRNA from 1 species
AUUGAACGCUGGCGGCAGGCCUAACACAUGCAAGUCGAGCGGAUGAAGGGAGCUUGCUCCUGGAUUCAGCGGCGGACGGGUGAGUAAUGCCUAGGAAUCUGCCUGGUAGUGGGGGAUAACGUCCGGAAACGGGCGCUAAUACCGCAUACGUCCUGAGGGAGAAAGUGGGGGAUCUUCGGACCUCACGCUAUCAGAUGAGCCUAGGUCGGAUUAGCUAGUUGGUGGGGUAAAGGCCUACCAAGGCGACGAUCCGUAACUGGUCUGAGAGGAUGAUCAGUCACACUGGAACUGAGAAACGGUCCAGACUCCUACGGGAGGCAGCAGGGGGGAAUAUUGGACAAUGGGGGAAAGCCUGAUCCAGCCAUGCCGCGUGUGUUAAGAAGGUCUUCGGAUUGUAAAGCACUUUAAGUUGGGAGGAAGGGCAGUAAGGUAAUACCUUGCUGUUUUGACGUUACCAACAGAAUAAGCACCGGCUAAAUUCGUG